GAACUCGCCGUCGUCUCCAUACUGAUCGAGCCCACCUAGGAAAAUCAUCAGUUUGAUCAUAGUGUACCAGAUUAAAAUCAGUCUGGUAUGUGGACAGCAUAAAAAAGUUAGCUAUGAAAUUAUAGAUAUAAUAAUAUUAAAAAAUAUAGAUAUAAUAAUAAAAAUAAUUAAAACUUGAUUCAGAUCAGUAGAUUUGACCCUUGUGAAUGUGGGGUUUCUUAUUGCAACAGCCCUUGUCACUCAUCGUGCCAGCAGUAGGUGAACUCGCCGUCGUCUCCAUACUGAUCGAGCCCACCUAGGAAAAUCAUCAGUUUGAUCAUAGUGUACCAGAUUAAAAUCAGUCUGGUAUGUGGACAGCAUAAAAAAAUCUAGCUAUGAAAUUAUAGAUAUAAUAAUAUUAAAAAAUAUAGAUAUAAUAAUAAAAAUAAUUAAAACUUGAUUCAGAUCAGUAGAUUUGACUCUUACGAAUGUGGGGUUUCUUAUUGCAACAGCCCUUGUCACUCAUCGUGCCAGCAGUAGGUGAACUCGCCGUCGUCUCCAUACUGAUCGAGCCCACCUAGGAAAAUCAUCAGUUUGAUCAUAGUGUACCAGAUUAAAAUCAGUCUGGUAUGUGGACAGCAUAAAAAAGUUAGCUAUGAAAUUAUAGGUAUAAUAAUAUAAAAAAAUAUAGAUAUAAUAAUAAAAAUAAUUAAAACUUGAUUCAAAUCAGUAGAUUUGACUCUUGCGAAUGUGGGGUUUCUUAUUGCAACAGCCCUUGUCACUCAUCGUGCCAGCAGUAGGUGAACUCGCCGUCGUCUCCAUACUGAUCGAGCCCACCUAGGAAAAUCAUCAGUUUGAUCAUAGUGUACCAGAUUAAAAUCAGUCUGGUAUGUGGACAGCAUAAAAAAAUCUAGCUAUGAAAUUAUAGAUAUAAUAAUAUUAAAAAAUAUAGAUAUAAUAAUAAAAAAAAAAAAUUAAAACUUGAUUCAAAUCAGUAGAUUUGACUCUUGCGAAUGUGGGGUUUCUUAUUGCAACAGCCCUUGUCACUCAUCGUGCCAGCAGUAGGUGAACUCGCCGUCGUCUCCAUACUGAUCGAGCCCACCUAGGAAAAUCAUCAGUUUGAUCAUAGUGUACCAGAUUAAAAUCAGUCUGGUAUGUGGACAGCAUAAAAAAAUCUAGCUAUGAAAUUAUAGAUAUAAUAAUAUUAAAAAAUAUAGAUAUAAUAAUAAAAAUAAUUAAAACUUGAUUCAGAUCAGUAGAUUUGACUCUUACGAAUGUGGGGUUUCUUAUUGCAACAGCCCUUGUCACUCAUCGUGCCAGCAGUAGGUGAACUCGCCGUCGUCUCCAUACUGAUCGAGCCCACCUAGGAAAAUCAUCAGUUUGAUCAUAGUGUACCAGAUUAAAAUCAGUCUGGUAUGUGGACAGCAUAAAAAAAUCUAGCUAUGAAAUUAUAGAUAUAAUAAUAUUAAAAAAUAUAGAUAUAAUAAUAAAAAUAAUUAAAACUUGAUUCAGAUCAGUAGAUUUGACUCUUGCGAAUGUGGGGUUUCUUAUUGCAACAGCCCUUGUCACUCAUCGUGCCAGCAGUAGGUGAACUCGCCGUCGUCUCCAUACUGAUCGAGCCCACCUAGGAAAAUCAUCAGUUUGAUCAUAGUGUACCAGAUUAAAAUCAGUCUGGUAUGUGGACAGCAUAAAAAAGUCUAGCUAUGAAAUUAUAGAUAUAAUAAUAUUAAAAAAUAUAGAUAUAAUAAUAAAAAUAAUUAAAACUUGAUUCAGAUCAGUAGAUUUGACUCUUACGAAUGUGGGGUUUCUUAUUGCAACAGCCCUUGUCACUCAUCGUGCCAGCAGUAGGUGAACUCGCCGUCGUCUCCAUACUGAUCGAGCCCACCUAGGAAAAUCAUCAGUUUGAUCAUAGUGUACCAGAUUAAAAUCAGUCUGGUAUGUGGACAGCAUAAAAAAGUCUAGCUAUGAAAUUAUAGAUAUAAUAAUAUAAAAAAAUAUAGAUAUAAUAAUAAAAAUAAAGUAAUUAAAACUUGAUUCAGAUCAGUAGAUUUGACUCUUACGAAUGUGGGGUUUCUUAUUGCAACAGCCCUUGUCACUCAUCGUGCCAGCAGUAGGUGAACUCGCCGUCGUCUCCAUACUGAUCGAGCCCACCUAGGAAAAUCAUCAGUUUGAUCAUAGUGUACCAGAUUAAAAUCAGUCUGGUAUGUGGACAGGAU